rnacentral:rRNA from 1 species
AACGAACGCUGGUGGCGUGCUUAACACAUGCAAGUCGAACGAGAAAGUUUCCUUCGGGAAAUUAGUAAAGUGGCGCAAGGGUGAGUAUCACGUGAAUAAUCUGCCCUCGAGAUCGGAUAACAUGGUGAAACUAUGCUAAUACCGGAUAAGACCACAUUUCAUAAGAAAUGCGGUAAAAGGAGUCCCAAUCUUCACUCGAGGAUGAGUUCGCGCAACAUUAGCUUGUUGGUGAGAUAAAAGCUCACCAAGGCUACGAUGUUUAGCCGGCCUGAGAGGGUGAACGGCCGACACUGGAACUGAGACACGGUCCAGACUCCUACGGGAGGCAGCAGUGGGAAUAUCGCGCAAUGGGCGAAAGCCUGACGCAGCAACGCCGUGUGAGCGAUG